GGAUCCUUAGCUCAGUGGCAGAGCUUCCGAUUGCAGAUCGGAUUGUCCCGUGUUCAAAUCACGGUUGGUCCU
rnacentral:tRNA from 1 species